UACAGGGGGGGCAAGCGUUGUUCGGAAUUACUGGGCGUAAAGGGUUCGUAGGUGGCCAACUAAGUCAUACGUGAAAUCCCUCAGCUUAACUGGGGAACUGCGCCUGAUACUGGUUGGCUUGAGUGCAGGAGAGGAACGCGGAAUUCCAGGUGUAGCGGUGAAAUGCGUAGAUAUCUGGAGGAACACCGGUGGCGAAGGCGGCGUUCUGGACUGCAACUGACACUGAGGAACGAAAGCCAGGGGAGCAAACGGA
rnacentral:rRNA from 1 species